AAAAGUAGAUUUUUAUCAUCGAUUCACAAAAAUGCAAAAGAAUAGAUAGUACCGAGUACUAUGAAGUGAAGCUGAAGAAUAUCGUUGUCCGUCUCUACAUUUUCUGCUCCUUCGUCUCCAAUACUGACCAUAAAGAACCAUGGCGGGCGCGGAGGAAGCCAAGUUCACCGGCAUGGCCAAGUACUUCAACAGCUACACCAUGUUUGGACGGGCUAACGUUGCAAAAGCCACGUACGCCGCAAUGGCCGUUUUCUUCGUAUACUACAAGAUGAAGCCUGCUAAGAAGUGAACGCGUUCAUGUUAUCCUCUGCCCAAUUUAGAUAGAUUUAUAUGUCAUACGAAUAAACCACAAGUGAGACAUUG
rnacentral:lncRNA from 1 species